CUCUUUCUGUGCUGUGUUCGGACAUGGCGGUCUCUGGCUCCUGGCAGAACUGUGCGGUGCAAUCCUCCGCCAUCCGCGCCUGCUGGAUGGCGUUGUACAUCGGGCUGGUGACCGAGCCUUCCCGCAGCUUCUCGUGCAGGUGACCAGGUGUUGAGCCGGUGGACUGGCGGAGGUAUGCGGUCCUGUAUCUGUGCAGAUGUCUGGUGUGAAGAUGAAAUGCUCCUUUAAGGAGUGCCUCUAGAAGCAUUGGUACCCAGAAGCUGAAUAACAUCAGACUGGGGAACAUCACUCGUGGCUUUCAGGGAACCUGGGACAAUACGUGGCCACUGACCUGAAGUCUCUGGAAAUCCCUGUACAGGCCAGGUUUGACUACCCAAGGACUGCUGAGCCUGGAUGAAGGAGAAGCAAACAAUACACAACUGGAAAAUGCUGUAUGGUGAUGACUUGGUUCUGUGUGAAACCCUAUUUAAUAAAAUUUGGAUCACAAGCUUUGUAAAUGUCUGUAUUCCAUCUGUUUGCCAAUAAAAUAAAAAAAUACUGCAUUGCUGGA